rnacentral:lncRNA from 1 species
ACCCCUUUCCCAUUUCAUAUUGCCGGUUCUCAAAAUCUCAUCUUCAGUCCCCUCCAUCACCAUGACUGAAAUCUUGUGCCCUCAUCAUUUUCUCUGCUCUCAUCUUCCUCCUCUACUUCUUCUUCUUCUUUUUCAUUCUCUCUCUAACUUUCUUCUUUGUGCUUUCAAAAACUAUGCAAGAUCUUCUUUCCUUCAUCUUUUCAUGCUCCUGCAUUGCAUUUUGAAUUGAG